UACGAGGGGGGCAAAUGUUGUUCGGAAUCACUGGGCGUAAAGGGAGCGUAGGCGGGUUCUUAAGUAAGGUGUUUAAUCCCGGGGCCCAACCCCGGACCGGCACUUUAAACUGGGAAUCUUGAAUAGUGGAGAGGUCAGUGGAAUUGGGGGUGUAGCGGUGGAAUGCGUAGAGAUCCCCAAGAACACCAGUUGCGAAAGCGGCACACUGGACCUUGUCUGACGCUGAGGCACGAAAGCCAGGGGAGCAAACGGG
rnacentral:rRNA from 1 species